rnacentral:rRNA from 1 species
CUAACUGGAGGACCGAACCGACUAAUGUUGAAAAAUUAGCGGAUGACUUGUGGCUGGGGGUGAAAGGCCAAUCAAACCGGGAGAUAGCUGGUUCUCCCCGAAAGCUAUUUAGGUAGCGCCUCGUGAACUCAUCUUCGGGGGUAGAGCACUGUUUCGGCUAGGGGGUCAUCCCGACUUACCAACCCGAUGCAAACUACGAAUACCGAAGAAUGUUAUCACGGGAGACACACGGCGGGUGCUAACGUCCGUCGUGAAGAGGGAAACAACCCAGACCGCCAGCUAAGGUCCCAAAGUCAUGGUUAAGUGGGAAACGAUGUGGGAAGGCACAGACAGCCAGGAUGUUGGCUUAGAAGCAGCCAUCAUUUAAAGAAAGCGUAAUAGCUCACUGGUCGAGUCGGCCUGCGCGGAAGAUGUAACGGGGCUAAACCAUGCACCGAAGCUGCGGCAGCGACACUAUGUGUUGUUGGGUAGGGGAGCGUUCUGUAAGCCUGCGAAGGUGUGCUGUGAGGCAUGCUGGAGGUAUCAGAAGUGCGAAUGCUGACAUAAGUAACGAUAAAGCGGGUGAAAAGCCCGCUCGCCGGAAGACCAAGGGUUCCUGUCCAACGUUAAUCGGGGCAGGGUGAGUCGACCCCUAAGGCGAGGCCGAAAGGCGUAGUCGAUGGGAAACAGGUUAAUAUUCCUGUACUUGGUGUUACUGCGAAGGGGGGACGGAGAAGGCUAUGUUAGCCGGGCGACGGUUGUCCCGGUUUAAGCAUGUAGGCUGGUUAUCCAGGCAAAUCCGGAUAAUCAAGGCUGAGGUGUGAUGACGAGGCACUACGGUGCUGAAGUAACAAAUGCCCUGCUUCCAGGAAAAGCCUCUAAGCAUCAGGUAACAUCAAAUCGUACCCCAAACCGACACAGGUGGUCAGGUAGAGAAUACCAAGGCGCUUGAGAGAACUCGGGUGAAGGAACUAGGCAAAAUGGUGCCGUAACUUCGGGAGAAGGCACGCUGGUGUGUAGGUGAAGCCCCUGCGGGUGGAGCUGAGACCAGUCGAAGAUACCAGCUGGCUGCAACUGUUUAUUAAAAACACAGCACUGUGCAAACACGAAAGUGGACGUAUACGGUGUGACGCCUGCCCGGUGCCGGAAGGUUAAUUGAUGGG